rnacentral:rRNA from 1 species
GACGAACGCUGGCGGCGUGCUUAACACGUGCAAGUCGAACGGUGAAGCUCCAGCUUGCUGGAGUGGAUCAGUGGCGAACGGGUGAGUAACACGUGAGCAACCUGCCCCUGACUCUGGAAUAAGCGCUGGAAACGGCGUCUAAUACUGGAUACGAGAAGGGUCCGCAUGGGCACUUUCUGGAAAGUUUUUCGGUUGGGGAUGGGCUCGCGGCCUAUCAGCUUGUUGGUGAGGUAAUGGCUCACCAAGGCGACGACGGGUAGCCGGCCUGAGAGGGCGAGCGGCCACACUGGGACUGAGACACGGCCCAGACUCCUACGGGAGGCAGCAGUGGGGAAUAUUGCACAAUGGGCGAAAGCCUGAUGCAGCGACGCCGCGUGAGGGAUGACGGCCUUCGGGUUGUAAACCUCUUUCAGCAGGGAAGAAGCGAAAGUGACGGUACCUGCAGAAGAAGCACCGGCUAACUACGUG